AUUGAACGCUGGCGGCAGGCCUAACACAUGCACGUCGAGCGAGCGGCGGACGGGUGAGUCAUUUCUGGGAAACUGCCUGAUGGAGGGGGAUAACUACUGGAAACGGUAGCUCAUACCGCUUACCAUCAGAUGUGCCCAGAUGGGUUUAGCUAGUAGGUGGGGUAACGGCUCACCUAGGCGACGAUCCCUAGCUGGGCUGAGCGGAUGCCCAGCCACACCGGAACUGAGACAGGGUCCAGACUCCUACGGGAGGCAGCAGUGGGGAAGAUUGCACAAGGGGGGCAAGUAUGAUGCAGCCACGCCGCGUGUAUGAAGAAGGCCAUCGGGUGGUAAAGUACUUUCAGCGGGGAGGCGUUACCCGCAGAAGAAGCACCGGCUAACUCCGCGCCAGCAGCCGCGGUAAUAC
rnacentral:rRNA from 1 species